UGCUUCCUCUCUCUCUCAAAAAAAAGGAGCUCCUUUGCUGCACAUCAGAUCCAAUCAAUCCGAUUAGGAGCUUCUCCAAGGAUAGAUGUGGGCAUGUGGCCUGCCUCGGCGAAGGGCGAGGGCGGCGCACCUGCGCGGAUGUUGUUGCCCGCCGCCUGAUGCGUUCCUUGAGCACGCGGCCGUGGUCGAUCGGACGACGAGCACAGCCAGGCAUGCAACUGCGUCGCUGAAGGUGGCGGCUGGGCUGUCGCUGCGCGUUCCGACGGGCUGGGCUUAUGGAGCGUGCGGACCGGCGCGUGCGCGCGGCGGCGGGCUGCAGGGCUACUUGUCGGUGCUUCAGCGGAGGGGCCGGGCAUCAGAGAACAGACGGCGGCGGCGUGAAGUCUAGAGCUGCGAGCUGAUCCUACGCUUACAUUCGGAGCAGCAGCAGCCGCUGCCGGAUACAGCAUGGGAGCUGACGCCAUUGCUGCCGGAUACUGGUGAUGGUGCACCAGUGGAAGCAAAGCUCCGAACGGGACCAUCGCCGGAGGCGGUGCAAGGAGAACUUGGGCGUGCCCUCUCACCAGGACCCCCGGAGCAGCGGCGGCUGCUGCUGGUGUGAUCAGCCCGGAAGCGGCGGCAGCCGGCGGCGCCGCCACGACGGGGUAAACUGCUGUUGGCUUCACGCCGCACCCAGACGACAUCGCCUGCAAGUAUCAAAUCGAUCAUAUAUACAAGGAAUACUGCUACACGAAGAAUGAAGUGUGUAUUAGACUCUGCUCAUACCUGGAUCUGUUGCUGCAGUGACUUGAUGUACUGGAUGGUCUGGUCCAGAGUUGAGACCUGGUUACUCUGAAAUGACACAGAUAACCGCAGAGGCAUUAUGCAUGUCAGAUAGAUAUCGGACUUUGAUCAUAUAUCUUGUGCGUGUGUGACAGUGUGAUGAGUACACUUGCUCUGGCUUGCACUGAAAAAGAAAUUCUUUUGUUA